rnacentral:rRNA from 1 species
AUCCUGCUCAGGAUGAACGCUAGCUACAGGCUUAACACAUGCAAGUCGAGGGGCAUCAGUUUGGUUUGCUUGCAAACCAAAGCUGGCGACCGGCGCACGGGUGAGUAACACGUAUCCAACCUACCUCAUACUCGGGGAUAGCCUUUCGAAAGAAAGAUUAAUAUCCGAUAGCAUAUAUUUCCCGCAUGGGUUUUAUAUUAAAGAAAUUCGGUAUGAGAUGGGGAUGCGUUCCAUUAGUUUGUCGGGGGGGUAACGG